AGGGACCACUUUGGGAAACUAUGGCCUAGGUCAACAUAAUUUUAACCUUUUGUAAAUACAGACAUGUUUUAGGUUACAUUCAAUAACACAGAAGGUGGCGGUGCGUGUGCGACCGCUUCGCGCAGAUGAAGGUUCGCGCAUCGUGCAUGUCGUUAGCGACAAGAUGUUGGUGCUGGAGGAAGAGGCG